CAUCAGAUGACUGAAAGCAAGUAAUAGUCUCUUAAACCAGUUUAUGGUACCCUUGCAAGUACCUCUGAUGA
rnacentral:tRNA from 1 species